rnacentral:rRNA from 1 species
UACAUGCAAGUCGAGCGGACAGAUGGGAGCUUGCUCCCUGAUGUUAGCGGCGGACGGGUGAGUAACACGUGGGUAACCUGCCUGUAAGACUGGGAUAACUCCGGGAAACCGGGGCUAAUACCGGAUGGUUGUUUGAACCGCAUGGUUCAAACAUAAAAGGUGGCUUCGGCUACCACUUACAGAUGGACCCGCGGCGCAUUAGCUAGUUGGUGAGGUAACGGCUCACCAAGGCGACGAUGCGUAGCCGACCUGAGAGGGUGAUCGGCCACACUGGGACUGAGACACGGCCCAGACUCCUACGGGAGGCAGCAGUAGGGAAUCUUCCGCAAUGGACGAAAGUCUGACGGAGCAACGCCGCGUGAGUGAUGAAGGUUUUCGGAUCGUAAAGCUCUGUUGUUAGGGAAGAACAAGUACCGUUCGAAUAGGGCGGUACCUUGACGGUACCUAACCAGAAAGCCACGGCUAACUACGUGCCAGCAGCCGCGGUAAUACGUAGGUGGCAAGCGUUGUCCGGAAUUAUUGGGCGUAAAGGGCUCGCAGGCGGUUUCUUAAGUCUGAUGUGAAAGCCCCCGGCUCAACCGGGGAGGGUCAUUGGAAACUGGGGAACUUGAGUGCAGAAGAGGAGAGUGGAAUUCCACGUGUAGCGGUGAAAUGCGUAGAGAUGUGGAGGAACACCAGUGGCGAAGGCGACUCUCUGGUCUGUAACUGACGCUGAGGAGCGAAAGCGUGGGGAGCGAACAGGAUUAGAUACCCUGGUAGUCCACGCCGUAAACGAUGAGUGCUAAGUGUUAGGGGGUUUCCGCCCCUUAGUGCUGCAGCUAACGCAUUAAGCACUCCGCCUGGGGAGUACGGUCGCAAGACUGAAACUCAAAGGAAUUGACGGGGGCCCGCACAAGCGGUGGAGCAUGUGGUUUAAUUUCGAAGCAACGCGAAGAACCUUACCAGGUCUUGACAUCCUCUGACAAUCCUAGAGAUAGGACGUCCCCUUCGGGGGCAGAGUGACAGGUGGUGCAUGGUUGUCGUCAGCUCGUGUCGUGAGAUGUUGGGUUAAGUCCCGCAACGAGCGCAACCCUUGAUCUUAGUUGCCAGCAUUCAGUUGGGCACUCUAAGGUGACUGCCGGUGACAAACCGGAGGAAGGUGGGGAUGACGUCAAAUCAUUCAUGGCCCCCUUAUGACCUGGGCUACACACGUGCUACAAUGGACAGAACAAAGGGCAGCGAAACCGCGAGGUUAAGCCAAUCCCACAAAUCUGUUCUCAGUUCGGAUCGCAGUCUGCAACUCGACUGCGUGAAGCUGGAAUCGCUAGUAAUCGCGGAUCAGCAUGCCGCGGUGAAUACGUUCCCGGGCCUUGUACACACCGCCCGUCACACCACGAGAGUUUGUAACACCCGAAGUCGGUGAGGUAACCUUUUAGGAGCCAGCCGCCGAAG